UCCUGACAGCCUUGUUAAGAGGUUGACACUAGCCACGACAGGAGACUCACAUG
rnacentral:sRNA from 12 species